AUGGAAGUGACCUGAGAUCUGGACAGCAUCCUCCAAAUCAAUGAGCUUCACUCGAGGCACUGGGAUCCGCUUCAUCCUGCUGCUGCUUGUCAUGAAAACUUUGAUCGGCUCUUUUUACAAUCUGGGAUGGUCAGUUCCUUAGUCAGCGUGAUAAUCCUCUGCUCCCAGGGAGUCACCAUACUGGUGCCAAACUCAAUGAAGAUUCCGCACUGACUUUAGCCUUACUGUAGCUCAGAACUCCAGCUAUUGAUCAAUCCACUGGACUCAGCCUCCUUAGUAGCAGGGAUUACAGUGUAGCCAGAGAUGGUGCAGUUCCCUGUGCUGGAUGGAGGCAGCCAUCGGAGAAUCACAGAUGUGCAGCUCCUUUCUUGGGCAAUGGGACGAUUUGGUGCUGCCGGAACACCUGGGGAAGCCCAAGGUCAAAGCCAGUCAUUAUAUGACCUCAGACAUGUUAUUUUACCUUCCUGUGUAUCAAUUUCCUCCCUUCCCUCCCCUCUCCCAUGUCCAUCCUUGCCAGUUGACAUAUCUAUCUUCUUCCCAACCUUGAAGUUUGAGAAGACAAUAGGAGAGAAUGUUGAACUUGUUAUGAGGGAGGACUUGGGUCAGGAUCCUGCUUACUAGCUGUGUGACCCUAGGCAAAUCACUUAACA